CGGCGGAGCCUCUUGUGCUGUUUGGAGGGUUGAAGCGGCUCCUGGGAGAGAGAGAGGAUGCCAAAAAGAGCACUCUGGACAACAGAGAAUGAGAAGCAGCAUUAAAGUGCAAAAUAAGCCAUUAUACAAAAUAUUUUCCAAUUCCUCUGGAAAGUUUAAAAACUACUCUUCCUCAGCAGAUGAGAGAUGAGGGAAAGAAUAACGAGAAUAAAGU